GACAUGGUGGCCUAAUGGUUAGCACGUUGGACUCUGGAUCGAGCGGUCUGGGUUCGAGCCCUGGUCUGGGUCA
rnacentral:tRNA from 1 species